rnacentral:rRNA from 1 species
AACCUGCCCAAGAGAUCGGGAUAACACCUGGAAACAGAUGCUAAUACCGGAUAACAACAGAUGAUGCCUAUCAACUGUUUAAAAGAUGGUUCUGCUAUCACUCUUGGAUGGACCUGCGGUGCAUUAGCUAGUUGGUAGGGUAACGGCCUACCAAGGCGAUGAUGCAUAGCCGAGUUGAGAGACUGAUCGGCCACAUUGGGACUGGGACACGGCCCAAACUCCUACGGGAGGCAGCAGCA